rnacentral:lncRNA from 1 species
CUGCUGCAUUUCUUGAAACUUCUUUCCAUCUCAUCCUCGUAGCUUGGUCGGCAUUGAGGAGAGAUAUGAUUUGAGGUAGAGUCUCUUCUAGAGAUCGGAGUGGGAGACUGCCUAUGGUGAUGAUUAGGUGGGCUGAUAGGUUGGCUUUAAUGGCUAGCCCCUGCUCUUGAGCUACGGGGGUGCCGAUCAACCGAUCUCCCUCUAGCUGGCUAUAAAUUUUUCAUGAUGAAAGGUAACUCAAUAUUUUGUUGUAUCCCUCUCACUGUGGCUGAAAGUCCCUACACCUACUGAAUGAGGCUGUUAUACUGAUUGUGGGAGAUUGCAGGUGCCACUAGAGGGGGAUUCUCC